UAGCUAGUUGGUGAGGUAAAGGCUUACCAAGGCGACGAUCUGUAGCGGGUCUGAGAGGAUGAUCCGCCACACUGGAACUGAGACACGGUCCAGACUCCUACGGGAGGCAGCAGUGGGGAAUUUUGGACAAUGGGGGCAACCCUGAUCCAGCCAUGCCGCGUGAGUGAAGAAGGCCUUCGGGUUGUAAAGCUCUUUCGGCCGGGAAGAAAUCGCAUGGGCCAAUACCCUGUGUGGAUGACGGUACCGGAAUAAGAAGCACCGGCUAACUACGUGCCAGCAGCCGCGGUAAUACGUAGGGUGCGAGCGUUAAUCGGAAUUACUGGACGUAAAGCGUGCGCAGGCGGUUUUGUAAGACAGGCGUGAAAUCCCCGGGCUUAACCUGGGAACUGCGUUUGUGACUGCAAGGCUAGAGUACGGCAGAGGGGGGUGGAAUUCCACGUGUAGCAGUGAAAUGCGUAGAGAUGUGGAGGAACACCAAUGGCGAAGGCCCCCCUGGGUCGAUACUGACGCUCAUGCACGAAAGCGUGGGUAGCAAACAGGAUUAGAUACCCUGGUAGUCCACGCCCUAAACUAUGUCAACUAGGUGUUGGGUGGGUAAAACCAUUUAGUACCGUAGCUAACGCGUGAAGUUGACCGCCUGGGGAGUACGGCCGCAAGGUUAAAACUCAAAGGAAUUGACGGGGACCCGCACAAGCGGUGGAUGAUGUGGAUUAAUUCGAUGCAACGCGAAAAACCUUACCUACCCUUGACAUGCCAGGAACUUGCCAGAGAUGGCUUGGUGCCCGAAAGGGAGCCUGGACACAGGUGCUGCAUGGCUGUCGUCAGCUCGUGUCGUGAGAUGUUGGGUUAAGUCCCGCAACGAGCGCAACCCUUGUCGUUAAUUGCCAUCAUUUAGUUGGGCACUUUAACGAAACUGCCGGUGACAAACCGGAGGAAGGUGGGGAUGACGUCAAGUCCUCAUGGCCCUUAUGGGUAGGGCUUCACACGUCAUACAAUGGUCGGUACAAAGGGUUGCCAAGCCGCGAGGCGGAGCCAAUCCCAGAAAGCCGAUCGUAGUCCGGAUUGCAGGCUGCAACUCGCCUGCAUGAAGUCGGAAUCGCUAGUAAUCGUGGAUCAGCAUGUCACGGUGAAUACGUUCCCGGGUCUUGUACAUACCGCCCGUCACACCAUGGGAGCGGGUUCCGCCAGAAGUAGGUAGCCUAACCGCAAGGGGGGCGCUUACCACGGCGGGGUUCGUGACUGGGGUGAAGUCGUAACAAGGUAGCCGUAGGGGAGCCUGCGGCUG
rnacentral:rRNA from 1 species